CUGCUAUUAAAAGCCCCAGCAGACGGUGGGGAUGAACGAGACAAAACUCCAAGUGAAUGGGUGCUUGAAACUUUAAUCCUUCUAUGCAAACCAACCUUCUUCAAGGCUGUUAGGACAUUAUGCAUGGCGGGUACAACUUGGGCAGAGGCAUUAUUGGGGCUCUCUGUGACUUCAGCUCCAACAGUUAUGUAUGUGAUCUUUGUGGCAGGAUAGUAAGGAAGAAUGCUGUUCUUCAACCAUGAAUCAGCAUUGGACUGAAAUUGGGACAAUGCCAAUAAGUCUGAAUUUGGAAUUCCAACCAUGAGUUCUACUCCAGUGUUUGCAAAGGCCUUUAGAACCUGAAUAUUUGAAUCAUAAAUCCUCAAAUAUUUAAUGUUAUGCUGUUGAACAAGCUGCGCGGCUUUAUCAGGUGUUGGAAUGUCAUCCGCAUUUCUUCCAUAGCAAACUCCUACUAUGCUUCCCCUGCAAAAUACCAGAAGUGUAAGCAACAGUGACAUAGCAAAGAUAAGCUUGAAUCCUCUAGCCAUUGCUGUGCAAAACAGAGCCUCCAACUCUCCAACGAUAAUGCCCAAAGUUCUGUUUCUACUUUACUCUUUUACCUAUGAGUGGUAAUGAAGUAAACCGUUCUUGGUCUAGGAAUCUAGAGAUUAACGUCUCUCCUAUCUCUCUACCCAAAAACGCUUCUCUCGGAGCUCGAGAGAGAGAGAGAGAGAGAGAGAGCCUUGCUUGUUGGCUUGGCUUUAGUGCACCGUGAGUGUGC
rnacentral:misc_RNA from 1 species